CAGCAAAAUCCAGCAGGUUAGCUAGAACAGUUAUAGCUAGCUGUUUUAGUGGUGAAAUUAUGGAGGGUUUAAAACAGAGAUGUGCAUUCUGAGGAGUUUUGAUAUCAGAGUCUCUGUAAGAGUUUAUGAAUAGAUAUUCAGUUAAACAUGCAUACAGAGAAUAUGAUUGAAAAACAUGUCUUAUUAUUCCAAAAGAACUGAGAGUUUGGAAAUUGGUACUGUCAGGACUGUCAUCCUCUACCUGAGGCCUUUUCUCCUCGCUGGACGUGGACCAACAUUUUUCUGCUUGUGGCUCAGCCUGAAUUUUUAUGUGGCCUGGAUGACAGACUUUAGCCAUGAAUAACCAUGAAGUAUCCAAAGCAGCUUCUUGUGAUGGGAAAAGCUGAUGAGUGUCGAGUUGCCAGUGCGGUUUAUGGUUUGGUGUUGACCAGGCAGCCAGAUGCAAUGAGAAGGAUGUGGCUUUUAGACAUGAACUGUACACCUCAUAUCAUCAUGGGAAGAGCAUGUUCUCUCUUUGACUGGGUUUGAUUUACAGCAAACUGAAGGCUCCUUGUUAUAGAUGUACCAAGACUGAUUAUAUCCCUUAUGAACACUGUGGAAACGAUGUAUAUUAUCGCUGUCAUGUCAAAAUCAUAUCACUCCAUUUAUUUAUUGUUUUUAUUUCUUUAUACCAUUUGAGCAGUUUUGCCUUUUAUGUUGUGUGAACAUUGUCAUGCUUCAUGAUGAGUGGACCAACAGAAAAAUUGUUUGGAAUGCAAUCCUGUAACCUUAACUUGUAAAAGUCUGGAGCGUUUUUUCCUUUUC